rnacentral:rRNA from 1 species
GUUUCCUACGGGGGGCAGCAGUGGGGAAUAUUGCGCAAUGGGCGAAAGCCUGACGCAGCGACGCCGCGUGAGGGAUGAAGGUCUUCGGAUCGUAAACCUCUGUCAGCAGGGAAGAACGGUCACUGUGCUCAUCAGCAGUGAAUUGACGGUACCUGCAAAGGAAGCACCGCCUAACUCCGUGCCAGCAGCCGCGGUAAUACGGAGUGUGCGAGCGUUAUUCGGAAUUACUGGGCGUAAAGCGCUCGUAGUCGGUAUGUCAAGUCAA